rnacentral:lncRNA from 1 species
CCUCUUUCUCUUUUGGGAUUUAAAUUCCUUUUCCUAUCUUUUACAAAUGACAUUUAAAUGGGUUUUGAUUUAAACCUUUACCCCCAUUUGAAUAUUUCCAAAUAAUAGUACCAUAUUUGAUUUCUCCUACUCCUUCGCUUUUCAAAAUAGUGGAAUUUUGGGCAAAAAGCAAAGUACAAACAAAACUAUUUACGAAAGAGAAAAACAGAAAAAGGAAAAAGGAAAAAGAAACUUACCUUCUUACCUUUCGUCCCAAGUCGGCCUAGGACCACUCGGCCC